rnacentral:snRNA from 1 species
AUACCUAGUCGGCGAGAUACCAUCAUUACGAAGGUGCUUUUUACCAGGGCAAGGCUUAUUCAAUGAACUCCAGAUGUGCUGACCCCUGCAAUUACUUCAAGUGAUAAAAAUUUGAUUGCAUAAUUUGUGGUAAUCUGGUGCUGUGUUAACAACAUUCUC